UGGGAACCUUCCCUAUGGUUCGGAAUAGCUCAGGGAAACUUGGGGUAAUACCGGAUAAGCCCUUCGGGGAAAGAUUUAUCGCCAUUGGAUGGGCCCGCGUCGGAUUAGCUAGUUGUGAGGUAACGGCUCACCAAGGCAACGAUCCGUAGCUGGUCUGAGAGGAUGAUCAGCCACACUGGGACUGAGACACGGCCCAGACUCCUACGGGAGGCAG
rnacentral:rRNA from 1 species